rnacentral:tRNA from 1 species
UAAUCGGACGAGAAUAAAGAUAGAGUCCCAUUCUACAUGUCAAUACCGGCA